UGGGGAAUUUUGGACAAUGGGCGAAAGCCUGAUCCAGCAAUGCCGCGUGUGUGAAGAAGGCCUUCGGGUUGUAAAGCACUUUUGUCCGGAAAGAAAUGGCUCUGGUUAAUACCUGGGGUCGAUGACGGUACCGGAAGAAUAAGGACCGGCUAACUACGUGCCAGCAGCCGCGGUAAUACGAAGGGUCCAAGCGUUAAUCGGAAUUACUGGGGGUAAAGCGUGCGCAGGCGGUUGUGCAAGACCGAUGUGAAAUCCCCGAGCUUAACGUGGGAAUUGCAUUGGUGACUGCACGGCUAGAGUGUGUCAGAGGGGGGUAGAAUUCCACGUGUAGCAGUGAAAUGCGUAGAGAUGUGGAGGAAUACCGAUGGCGAAGGCAGCCCCCUGGGAUAACACUGACGCUCAUGCACGAAAGCGUGGGGAGCAAACAGG
rnacentral:rRNA from 1 species